rnacentral:lncRNA from 1 species
ACAGAAGUGUCAGGAAGAGCUUGUGAUACUCCCCCCCGAAUUUGACGACUUCUGGCCGAAGCGACAGAAGUGUCAGGAAGAACUUGGGAUUCUCCCCCUUGAGAUCAUUAAGGCCGAAGCGUCAAAAUGAUCUCUGGUCUACUAAGGCCAAAGCGACAAAGUAGACCGACUCACUAUCAGAGUCUGAUUCUGACCAGAGCUACAGAUCCACUAUCAGGAUCCGAUCCUCGCCUUGGAUGCAGAACCUGUUGAUUCACUAAUAGAAUCUGACUCCUGUCGGG